rfam:Triticum urartu cultivar G1812 contig1072234, whole genome shotgun sequence.
AUAGUACUCCCUCCGUUCCGAAUUACUUGUCGCGGCUAUGGAUGUAUCUAGAUGUAUUUUAGUUCUAGAUACAUCCAUUUCUGCGAUGAGUAAUUUGGAACGGAGGGAGUACAAG